rnacentral:rRNA from 1 species
CAGCCGCCGCGGGAACACGGAGGGGGCUAGCGUUACUCGGAAUUACUGGGCGUAAAGGGCGCGUAGGCGGCACGAUUAGUCAGGCGUGAAAUUCCUGGGCUCAACCUGGGGACUGCGCUUGAUACGGUCGAGCUAGAGGAUGGAAGAGGGUUGUGGAAUUCCCAGUGUAGAGGUGAAAUUCGUAGAUAUUGGGAAGAACACCGGUGGCGAAGGCGGCAACCUGGUCCAUUACUGACGCUGAGGCGCGACAGCGUGGGGAGCAAACAGGAUUAGAUACCCGAGUAGUCCCUGUCUCUUAUAC